rnacentral:rRNA from 1 species
UGGGGAAUAUUGGACAAUGGGCGAAAGCCUGAUCCAGCAAUGCCGCGUGAGUGAUGAAGGCCUUAGGGUUGUAAAGCUCUUUUACCCGGGAAGAUAAUGACUGUACCGGGAGAAUAAGCUCCGGCUAACUCCGUGCCAGCAGCCGCGGUAAUACGGGGGGAGGACGUAGCGUUGUUCGGAAUUACUGGGCGUAAAGCGCACGUAGGCGGCUAUUCAAGUCAGAGGUGAAAGCCCGGGGCUCAACCCCGGACUGCUUUGAAUCUAGAUAGCUUGAAUCCAGGAGAGGUGAGUGGAAUUCCGAGUGUAGAGGUGAAAUUCGUAGAUAUUCGGAAGAACACCAGUGGCGAAGGCGGCUCACUGGACUGGUAUUGACGCUGAGGUGCGAAAGCGUGGGGAGCAAACA